CAAGUAGUCCCUCCGUCCAAUAAAAAAUGUCUUAACUUUGACUAAAUUUGAAUGCAUCUAUACAUUAAGUCAUGUCUAGAUACAUCUAAAUUUUAACAAACUUGAGACAUUUUUUGUUGGACGGAAGGAGUACGUA
rfam:Brachypodium distachyon strain Bd21 chromosome 2, whole genome shotgun sequence.